GCGGCGCCGGAAACUGGGCGCACACACCCUCGGAUUGACGUGCGCACGCGCACCGGUUACCUUCAGGAGCGCCGAAGAAGGAAAGAAGAACACAGAGCCCGAGGCAAAGCUUAAGUGCUUACGCUUUUGUCGGGAGGUACAGACCCAGCUCUGCGAGAGCCAGGGGAAAAGGAAGAGAGGCAGGGAAGGAAUGGCAGCAAGUACAAGGUGAUGAAUGACUGCACUGGCCAUUGCUUCAUGAAGAGCCACGAAAAAACAGAGCCGGUUUCUCAGCAGGUGGCUGGCUGCUCAGUCACAAAGGACCUCUUUGGACAGGCUUUAUGGAAAUACUGUGCCUAGGACAGUCGCUCAAAGGCAGGAGGGAGAGAAAAUGCAUCUGCAAGCUCACUUUGUCUUCUUUCUUCUGCUGGUCAAAAUUUGCUGGCUGGGGCAGUUAACGCCCUCACACAUCCGAGUUGUGUCACCUGGCCCCUUUGGUAGCCACUGGGGAAGCCAGAUCUAGGCAUGUGGCCUGAUGGCUCCUGCGGUGGAACCACAUGCUCACACUCAGUCAGUCACCACUGGGAUGCCCUGGGCAGGGCAGGCUGAGUGGCUGGGAGAUAGCUGAGCCUAAGAUAUCUAAGCAAGCACCUGUGAUGUAUGCACUGCAGUGUCCAAAUGUGAAAAAGCAAGAAAGGGAGAUAGAAGCAUAUUUUUUUCUGGAGAGAAGGAGGAAACCACCAGGAGAAUACAAACAGAAAAAAGACUGCCAGCUCCGUGACAGCAAGAACCUUGUAUGACUUUUUCAUGAUGGAUGUUCAUCUGUGCCAUCUGUAAAUAUUGAAUAAAUAUUUGUGGAAUACAUGAAUCUAAAAGUGAAUGGAAUGAUAAAGAGGGAAAGGGUCAUGACAUCUACUACAGCAUUUGGCACAGACCCAGCUGUCUGCAGUACUAUCAAGAGAUGACAUGGACUUCAAGGAUCAAACAGGGGAGAAAAAGGCUUAAAAGAAAAACAAGUCUCCAUCAAAGGUAAUAACCACAAUGAGAACUAUACAUAGCUAUGUGCUUAUAGGUCUUAGUUCACAUUCCCCUCAUUAAAAUUAUAGCUCAAGAAAUAAAGGGCUGUUUAAUGACUUGGGUAUAUAAAUAUACUUCAUUUGUAUAUUUUUUACUUGCUAAAAUCUAUCCAAAUUGGUAUUACCUCAAACCAUAAUCUUCUACUGUAUUUUAUAAUUUUACUUUAUUGCCAUGUAUUUUUCCCACUGAUGUUCACAAAUUCACAGGAAACAUCAGCCAUGUACUAAAUAAAAUAUGAAUUGAAUCGACAAAUAGAACUAUAAA
rnacentral:lncRNA from 1 species